UGUUUCGCGAGGCCAUUGUUGAAGGACGUAUAUCUCAAAAUCCAGUCACGCCAACAAGAGCACCGAAAAUAGUAGUUACAAGAGAACGACUGAAACUAAAGACAUACAACUGCAUCAGGGAGGCAGCAGAUCAACUUCCGGCAUGGUUCCCAUUAGCUAUGGAUUUAGCCCUUGUAACAGGACAACGUCGCGAAGACAUAACGAAUAUGCGGUUCAGUGAUAUUUAUGAUGAUCGUCUCCACAUCAGGCAAAUUAAGACAGGAAUGAUGAUUGCUAUCCCCCUGUCACUCAGCCUUCCUGUCGCUGGUUUACGACUUGGUGCAGUAGUUGAACAGUGCCGCAUGGUAAGUAGGGGGGAUUAGUCUAUC
rnacentral:rRNA from 1 species